rnacentral:rRNA from 1 species
AUUGAACGCUGGCGGCAGGCCUAACACAUGCAAGUCGAGCGGAUGACGGGAGCUUGCUCCUUGAUUCAGCGGCGGACGGGUGAGUAAUGCCUAGGAAUCUGCCUGGUCGUGGGGGACAACGUUUCGAAAGGAACGCUAAUACCGCAUACGUCCUACGGGAGAAAGCAGGGGACCUUCGGGCCUUGCCCUAUCAGAUGAGCCUCGGUCGGAUUAGCUAGUUGGUGGGGUAAUGGCUAACCAAGGCGACGAUCCGUAACUGGUCUGAGAGGAUGAUCAGUCACACUGGAACUGAGACACGGUCCAGACUCCUACGGGAGGCAGCAGUGGGGAAUAUUGGACAAUGGGCGAAAGCCUGAUCCAGCCAUGCCGCGUGUGUGAAGAAGGUCUUCGGAUUGUAAAGCACUUUAAGUUGGGAGGAAGGGCAGUAAGUUAAUACCUUGCUGUUUUGACGUUACCGACAGAAUAAGCACCGGCUAACUCUGUGCCAGCCGCCGCAGUAA